UUGGGGGACAUUGGGCCAUGGUUAAACAAAAACGCAUUUAGAGCGUCAGACAAGAAAUAUGCAGUGGCUACUAGCAAUGGCUCAUUCUCUUCCAUUUCAGCCAAAGAGAGUUUGAUGCAAUGAUUGAUUCUAGAGUCUUCCCAGAUGGUUCCCUUUUCAGCUACCAUACGAAGGUACCAGGAUCUCCAACUAGAAAUUUUGCUUGGCCAUGAGUGGAAGGUGCUUUUUCAAUCUGACAAAUUCAUGGUGGCAAGCUUGAAAGGGAACCUUUGAGAUUCGGCGUUUAUGAAAUCUAUCAGAUCUUCACUACCCAUAGGCCCAAGAAAGAAGUUUGCUUCAGUAUUGGCUAUGGGGAUAAAGAGGUUAUUCCUGAGCUCCUACAAGUGGGGCAGGAAUUGAGCAAAAGCAAAGGUUCAAUGCGCAAUGACCAAAUCGGAUCUAGAAAGAGAAAGGAUAGUGAAGAUAUAUGGUACCUGCAGAAUAAAAGACAGUGGCACCAUUGCCAAUCUGGAGUGUGUUGAUGGUUGGAGCCUCACGGUGACGGAGAAUGAUGGAGUAAUCACUAGGCGCAUGAAGGAGGAUUGAUUUUUGACUAUGGUGGCUAACUGUUGUGAAGAAGACGAAUGGGAUGGAACAAUUAUAUAACAAUUUCUACGAGGUGAAUCCUGUAAAAUAGGAUGUUAUCAAAAAAUCUAGAGAAAAGGUUCAAGAUUGUGGUAAUGACUCUUUUGGUUUUGGAAGGAUAUCGGUUCAGAACCUAUGAAUAUGCUGACAAGAGGAGAGAAUUUUGGAACAUAAUAUUAUAUUCCGAAAUUGGGAGAAAGAUCAAGCAUCAGGUUAUAUCGUGGUGGCUAAUAUUUUCCUAAAAUCUUUGAUUAAUUCUAUGAGGAACUAUUGACAUCGGUUUUUUACCAGAGUCAACCGAAGAAGAUAAGGUUCUGACAGCCGAUAAAGGAGAGAGAACGGGUUUGUUGAUGGCUCAAUGUUGACCAAGGUCCACUGUGAGUGAACAUAUUCCAAAAGCCGAUGGAAGACCAAGAGGGAUCCGAUCCAAAGCGAAAUCAACCCCACCAAAUAAGGGAAAGCGUGGAGAUUUAUCAUUAGUAGUUUUUAGAUUUGUUUGUACUGGUUCA
rnacentral:lncRNA from 1 species